rnacentral:rRNA from 1 species
UACGUAGGGGGCGAGCGUUGUCCGGAUUUAUUGGGCGUAAAGGGCGUGUAGGCGGUUUCUUAAGUCGGGGGUGAAACCCCAGGGCUCAACCCUGGGACUGCCUCCGAUACUGGGGAACUUGAGUGCUCUAGAGGGCAGUGGAAUUCCGGGUGUAGCAGUGAAAUGCGUAGAGAUCCGGAGGAACACCAGUGGCGAAGGCGACUGCCUGGGGAGUAACUGACGCUGAGGCGCGAAAGCUGGGGGAGCAAACGGGAUUAGAAACCCUUGUAGU